CACCGGCAGCUCUAGUGGUAACAAUUUUUAUUGGGCCUAAAGCGUCCGUAGCCGGUUUAAUAAGUCUCUGGUGAAAUCCUGCAGCUUAACUGUGGGAAUUGCUGGAGAUACUAUUAGACUUGAGACCGGGAGAGGUUAGAGGUACUCCCAGGGUAGAGGUGAAAUUCUGUAAUCCUGGGAGGACCGCCUGUUGCGAAGGCGUCUAACUGGAACGGUUCUGACGGUGAGGGACGAAAGUUAGGGGCGCGAACCGGAUUAGAUACCCCCGUAGUCC
rnacentral:rRNA from 1 species